UCCAGCAAUGCCGCGUGAGUGAAGAAGGCCUUCGGGUUGUAAAGCUCUUUUGUCAGGGAAGAAACGGUGAGGGCUAAUAUCCUUUGCUAAUGACGGUACCUGAAGAAUAAGCACCGGCUAACUACGUGCCAGCAGCCGCGGUAAUACGUAGGGUGCAAGCGUUAAUCGGAAUUACUGGGCGUAAAGCGUGCGCAGGCGGUUAUGUAAGUCAGAUGUGAAAUCCCCGGGCUCAACCUGGGAAUGGCAUUUGAGACUGCAUGGCUAGAGUGUGUCAGAGGGGGGUAGAAUUCCACGUGUAGCAGUGAAAUGCGUAGAGAUGUGGAGGAAUACCGAUGGCGAAGGCAGCCCCCUGGGAUAACACUGACGCUCAUGCACGAAAGCGUGGGGAGCAAACAGGAUUAGAUACCCUGGUAGUCCACGCCCUAAACGAUGUCUACUAGUUGUCGGGACUUAAUUGUCUUGGUAACGCAGCUCACGCGUGAAGUAGACCGCCUGGGGAGUACGGUCGCAAGAUUAAAACUCAAAGGAAUUGACGGGGACCCGCACAAGCGGUGGAUGAUGUGGAUUAAUUCGAUGCAACGCGAAAAACCUUACCUACCCUUGACAUGUACGGAACCUCUGAGAGAU
rnacentral:rRNA from 1 species